CGGGACGGGUGAGUAAUGUCUGGGAAACUGCCCGAUGGAGGGGGGUAACUACUGGAAACGGUAGCUAAUACCGCAUAACGUCGCAAGACCAAAGAGGGGGACCUUAGGGCCUCUUGCCAUCGGAUGUGCCCAGAUGGGAUUAGCUAGUAGGUGGGGUAAUGGCUCACCUAGGCGACGAUCCCUAGCUGGUCUGAGAGGAUGACCAGCCACACUGGAACUGAGACACGGUCCAG
rnacentral:rRNA from 1 species